GACGAACGCUGGCGGCGUGCUUAACACAUGCAAGUCGAACGGAAAGGCCCUGCUUUUGUUGGUUGCUCGAGUGGCGAACGGGUGUGUAACACGUGAGUAACCUGCCCUUGACUUUGUGAUAACUUCAGGAAACUGGGGCUAAUACCGGAUAGGAGCUCCUGCUGCAUGGUGGGGGUUGGAAAGUUUCGGCGGUUGGGGAUGGACUCGCGGCUUAUCAGCUUGUUGGUGGGGUAGUGGCUUACCAAGGCUUUGACGGGUAGCCGGCCUGAGAGGGUGACCGGCCACAUUGGGACUGAGAGACGGCGCAGACUCCUACGGGAGGCAGCAGUGGGGAAUAUUGCACAAUGGGCGGAAGCCUGAUGCAGCAACGCCGCGUGCGGGAUGACGGCCUUCGGGUUGUAAACCGCUUUCGCCGGUGACGAAGCGUGAGUGACGGUAAUGGGUAAAGAAGCACCGGCUAACUACGUG
rnacentral:rRNA from 1 species